rnacentral:misc_RNA from 1 species
GAGAAGUUUGGUCUUUCUUUAUCAACAAUAGAGAAACUGGGUCUCCUCUCUAAAGCAGAGGAAUUGGGUGUCCUCUCUGCAGCAACUGACCCUGGGACUCCAGGGGCUUUGUUAAGCCUUAGCUUGGGAUUGCUGCUUUUAGGUCCCUCUUGUGUUUAUCUUGUGCCUGAGGAUUACCCCUGGGAAGUUGCAUUGCAGGUUGUGGUUACUUUGCUUUCUGUGGUUGGGGGUUCUGCUUCCUUUGCUGCCUCAAAUUUUGUAUCCAACUUGCAGAAAUCAAACUAAAUUGGACAAGCCUUAUUUCUUUGUGUUUAAUGUUUAAUGUGAGUUUGCUGCUUUUUGAUCCA